CCGGAGUUGGGGAUGAGAUCCGGCUCCCAUAGGAGUCCGAGCGAAGUCUACCUGCAAUUGGAGUUGGGGGCGAAGUCCGGCUCCUGUAGGAGUCCGGACGAAGUCUACCUGUAAUUGAAGUCGUGGGCGGAGUCUGGCUCCCAUAGUCCGGAUGAAGUCUGCCUAUGGUCGGGAUUGGGGACGAGGUCCGGCUCCCGUAGGAGUCUGGACGAGGUCUUCCUGC
rnacentral:lncRNA from 1 species